UGGGGAAUAUUGGACAAUGGGCGAAAGCCCGAUCCAGCCAUGCCGCGUGUGUGAAGAAGGUCUUCGGAUUGUAAAGCACUUUAAGUUGGGAGGAAGGGCAGUUACCUAAUACGUGAUUGUUUUGACGUUACCGACAGAAUAAGCACCGGCUAACUCUGUGCCAGCAGCCGCGGUAAUACAGAGGGUGCAAGCGUUAAUCGGAAUUACUGGGCGUAAAGCGCGCGUAGGUGGUUAGUUAAGUUGGAUGUGAAAUCCCCGGGCUCAACCUGGGAACUGCAUUCAAAACUGACUGACUAGAGUAUGGUAGAGGGUGGUGGAAUUUCCUGUGUAGCGGUGAAAUGCGUAGAUAUAGGAAGGAACACCUGAGGCGAAGGCGGGUUGCUGGGCUGAUACUGACGCUGAGGCGCGAAAGCUAGGGUAGCAAACGGGAUUAGAUACCCGUGUAGUCCCUGAGCGGGCUGGCAAGGCGCAU
rnacentral:rRNA from 1 species